UUUGUUAAAUCAAGUAAAAUGAUGUAAAUAUUUUUACAUAUGUGUAUAUAUACACUAAUCAGCCACAACAUUAAAAACAAUAAUUUGUUUUAAUGCUGUGGCUGAUCAGAGGAGGCACAGUGCAAGUAUUUUGUUUUGUUUUUAAUAACACGAUCAAUGCAAUAAAAAUACGAUUCAUAUGUUUCUGUAACAUCAUGUGACAGAGUCACGUCUGCUGGUCAUAACACGCCUGAGGGGUUCAUUUCUGUAUUUGUCUGGUGAUACUAUUUGCUGAGUCUAGUGUCACAAAAAUGGAUCAGAUAUCUAUUUCCAAACAGUUUCCACCCAUCUAGUUUCAGGAACAUUGAUAUUAUUGAAUUACACAGACAGAAGAGGCAUUACAUAUUAUAUUUACCUUCAGGAAUACAGCUUCUUGAUAAGAUCGAUGACAAAUUAAAACAAUGUGUAUCUCUAAAAUAUAAAGUGUUGGAAGACCAUGAUCCGUCAGAGCAGCUUCAGUGGUCCCUGGCAUACGUCAACAACACAACUAUUCUUUUUGGGUGGUGGAAAACCAUUCCUCCAAAAGGGUUUCCCUCACCUGGUGAACUGUCUGGAGUCUACACACUCAGACAUCUUUACUAGAAAGACCAGGGGAACGACUUUACCACCUCAAGAAAUUCAGACCUUCACUGAUUCUGUGGAAAGCGUCCUAAAAAGGGGCACCAGCAAUUGGUAUGGGAACUACUCUACUAUAGUGUGCUUGACUGAGCGUAGCAAAGCAUGUGCACUCCCCAACCUGCAGGACUGACACACCAAAAGUGCAGAGCCAGAGUCAGUAGGAUUAUAAAGAGUCUCCAUCACACUUGUGUCUUUGUACUUAAAUGUACACAAGAACUGAUGGUACAGUUUGGUAGUUUUGUAGACUCACAGUGGGAUUUUAUUCUGGAGACCUUUGACUAAAUUCUUUGACAAUUCUUAAAAAAAAAAAAAAAAAAAAAAAAAAGCUACACAGUUCAUUGCUCUAAAUGUAAGUUUGACUAUUUUACGUGAUUUCAUAGCAUUAUUUAUUGUGUGUGUAUAUAUGAGCAUAUGUAAAUGAAAACUGUUGCUGUGUGUCCUUUAAAUUCAGAAGAAGUAAAAGAGGAGUCUAUCAAUAUUUGGUAAUAGAUAUCUGAUCCAUGUUUGCCACACUAGACUCGGCAAACACUAUCAUCUAGAUAAAGCCAGUCUGGUGGGUUAUGGUCAGGUGGUGUAGUCGUCCCCUUUCUCUAACAUGGGUUAAGUUUGUUGGGUUUUAGUCGCACUUUUUUUCUUUUCUCUCUGGAGACAAGAAAGUUUACCCUGUGUUUGUACACCAGGACCACAGAUGAUGCCUGUCUGUGUGCAGGUGAGAGGUAUCUGUAAAUGUUUGUAUUCUUUAAUCACAUAUCAUCAGCAUCUCAAAUGCCCCCAGUAUAUUCAAAUAGAUCUUAGAUGAUUAUUUGUUCUGAUAAUUGAUCAUUUCUAUAAUAAUAAUCAUAUAAAAUUGUUUACAGUGUCACAGCUGACAUCAGCACCAGUUUGUCUGCUUCACAGUGGAUGUUGUGCAGCUCUUAAACAAAACUUAAACAAGGCAUUGUUAAGCUUUUGACACAUCAUUUAUUUCUGAACAAUAGUGAGAACAGCACCUUUAUAUUGAAUCUGGUGUUAACUUCUAACAGUUGAACAUGUCUCUGUGGUUACUGAUUCUUUCUCCAAACAAAGGGAUCAAUCAUUUCAAAGUUCAUGAUUUUUUUUUUUUUUUUUUACAUUUGUGUGACCAAAAACCCACUGAAGGUUGUAUGGUGGUCAUGUCCCCAGACAUGUGUGUUUGCAGGCAACCGGA